rnacentral:rRNA from 1 species
AUGGCUCAUAAUCCAUCAAGCCCGUCUAGAAAACCAAAUGACCGGAGCAUCUGGGACCUUAUAUGGAAGGUGAAAGCCCCCGGAAAACUGCGUAUCUUUGCUUGGAGAGUGGCUACUAAAACCCUCGCCACAAAAGAAAACAAGUGGAAGAGAACACUUGAUCUGGAUACCACCUGUAGCAUUUGUGGUAAUGGAAAAGAGGAUGAGCACCAUGCGGUGGUCAUGUGUACAAAGAGCAGAGCGCUCCGAGCAGCGGUCAGAGAGAUAUGGCGGCUCCCUUCAGAAAGUAAAUUUUGGUACACAGGUGAUGACUGGCUACAAACCCUGCUAGACACAGAGAAUGAGGAGGGGUGA